CAGCAGUCAAGAAUAUUAGUCAAUGCUCGAAAGAGUGAACUAGCUAACUGAAAUCACUUUAGAAGUGAUAAUGUAAGGGAAAAUAAAUGAUAUUACCUUACUAUAAGUGUUGUCAAAACUGGUGCCAGAAGACUCGGUAAGGCCAGAAACGCGAACGUUAGUCAUCUAAAACAGGCGUAAAGGGUUUGUAGGCAGCUUUGAAAUCCUGAUUUUUAAAAAAUAGCCAGCCGUCGCAGUAUAUUCACCCUGCCGCUUUGCAUCGCAAAGCGGGGCGCGCUAUAAUAUAAUAUAUAGUAGCAUCACGUUAACCGCUUUGCGAAUGCCAAAGCGAGAGGGAGGGAAUAACGUACCGUAUGGAUAUAAAAAAAGAGGGAAAUUAGAAGAUAGAAUCAAAUAUAGGAAAAUUCGAAUAAAUUCUAGAAGAGGGUUAAUAUCCGAAGAUACUAGAAUGAAUGCUUAAGGCGAAGGCCUUUUUCCAUAAAUGAUUGACGCUCAGAAACGAAGGAUAGGAUAGGAAACAGGAUUAGAUACCCUGGUACCCCUUUCAGUCAACGAUGAAUGGUAGUCACUAAUUAAAGUAUUGGUGUCAAUGUUAACACGUUAACCAUUCCGCCUUGUGAGUACGAUUGCAAAGUUGAAAACAAAAAAAUUAGUCGGUCUCGAAGCAAACAAGGAGCGAUUAUUUAAUUCGAUGAUCCGC
rnacentral:rRNA from 1 species